AUACGGAGGGUGCAAGCGUUAUUCGGAAUCACUGGGCGUAAAGGACGCGUAGGCGGGUUGGCAAGUCAGAUGUGAAAUCCUACAGCUUAACUGUAGAACUGCAUUUGAAACUGCUAACCUAGAGUAUGGGAGGGGGAGAUGGAAUUAGUGGUGUAGGGGUAAAAUCCGUAGAUAGCACUAGGAAUACCGAAAGCGAAGGCGAUCUCCUGGAACAUAACUGACGCUAAGGCGUGAAAGCGUGGGGAGCAAACAGGAUUAGAAACCCCAGUAGUCC
rnacentral:rRNA from 1 species